UGGAACCCGCCGGGUCUGACGUAAAGGUCACCGCUCCGCCACGCUGCGCUUCCUGCAGCACUCCGUGACCUUACCAUGACCUUUAGGCUGUAAGCAGCUUCCUGCAGAACCGGACCAAGCAGAACCAGCACCACGCUGAGACUCCAGCAGAAACCGGUUCAGGGUUCUGUUCCACACAGAACCGAGCCAGGAGGUUCUGGUCGUCCUGGCAGGAAGAAGCAGAUCUCCAGUUUAUAACGGAUCAGAACCGCCCUGAGGAGCGAAGACUUCACCAGCAGAAGAACCGGACUGAACCGGACCAGGAUCAAUCAGAACUGUUCUGUUUUUCUGUUUAUUUCUAUAGAUCUGUUUCAAAACGCCUCGAGAUCAUUUCAAUCGAUCAACCAAUCAAUCCUAUUGAUCCCAGCUGUCAGUCAUUCAGCCCUGGACCAGCAGGGGGCGACAGGAGAGGAAAACGCCUUUAACAGAAAGGGACCCUACUGGUGUCAUGUGACUGCAGCAGGAUCCGGUCCGGUUCUGGUUCUGGAGUCACUCAAAGUUCUGCCUCUGUCUGUUUCAGCCGACCAGCGAGGAAGAUCUCUGCCCCAUCUGCUACGCCCACUCCAUCUCCGCCGUCUUCAGGCCCUGCUCACACAAGUCCUGCAAAGCCUGCAUCAAUCAGCAUCUGAUGAACAACAAGGAUUGCUUCUUCUGCAAGGCCACCAUCACCGGGGUGGAGGACUACAGCAAGCCGUCCUAACACACACUCUCACACACACACACACACACACAGCCCUCCACCGGAGCUCCGCCUACUGCCGAACAUGGAGGCGUCUGCAGCCAAUCAGCUGGCAGCUCAAUGGAGACUAGCAGGUUGAGCUUUUAUUUUGAAAGAGUCCUGGAGUUUGUUUGUGUGUGUGGUAGCAGCUCUGACUCUGGACCGUUCUCCCCUUCAGAACCAGAACCGAGCCGACUCAUGGAUGAGCUGCAGCAUCAGAAGCAGCUUGGUUCAGGUCCAGUCUAGUUUCAGGUUCUGGUUCUGUAACUGGUUGAACAUCUUUCAGUGUUUCAGAGCAAAAAUGCAGCAACUGAUCGGUUGGUUCUGAUCCGGAUGUUGGUUCUGUUGGUGCGAAACUGCAGCAUAUCUGUAACCUCAUUAAAUUAUUAAUCCUGAACCAAA